rnacentral:rRNA from 1 species
ACGAUCCCCUCCGGGGGAUAGUGGCGGACGGGUGAGUAACGCGUGAACAAUCUGCCCUGUACAGCGGAAUAGCCUCGGGAAACCGGGAUUAAAACCGCAUAAUACUUAAGUAUCGCAUGAUACGUAAGUCAAAUUGAUUAAGAGGUAUGGGAUGAGUUCGCGUCUGAUUAGCUAGUUGGUGAGGUAAUGGCUCACCAAGGCGACGAUCAGUAGCCGGCCUGAGAGGGUGAACGGCCACACUGGAACUGAGACACGGUCCAGACUCCUACGGGAGGCAGCAGUGGGGAAUAUUGCACAAUGGAGGGAACUCUGAUGCAGCGACGCCGCGUGAGUGAAGAAGGUCUUCGGAUCGUAAAACUCUGUCCUUGGUGAAGAUAAUGACGGUAACCAAGGAGGAAGCCCCGGCUAACUACGUGCCAGCAGCCGCGGUAAUACGUAGGGGGCUAGCGUUGUCUGGAUUUACUGGGCGUAAAGGGUGAGUAGGCGGUUAUGUAUGUCAGAUGUAAAAGGCGCAGGCUUAACUUGCGUUAGCAUUUGAAACUGCAUAACUUGAGUGCAGGAGAGGUAAGCGGAAUUCCUAGUGUAGCGGUGAAAUGCGUAGAUAUUAGGAGGAACACCGGUGGCGAAGGCGGCUUACUGGACUGUAACUGACGCUGAGUCACGAAAGCGUGGGUAGCAAACAGGAUUAGAUACCCUGGUAGUCCACGCUGUAAACGAUGAGUGCUAGGUGUUGGGUAGCGAUACUCAGUGCCGCAGUAAACACAAUAAGCACUCCGCCUGGGGAGUACGGUCGCAAGACUGAAACUCAAAGGAAUUGACGGGGACCCGCACAAGCAGCGGAGCAUGUGGUUUAAUUCGAAGCAACGCGAAGAACCUUACCAAGGCUUGACAUCCCCUUGACAGAUGCAGAGAUGUGUCCUCUCUUCGGGAGCAAGGGAGACAGGUGGUGCAUGGUUGUCGUCAGCUCGUGUCGUGAGAUGUUGGGUUAAGUCCCGCAACGAGCGCAACCCUUAUCCUUAGUUGCCAGCAAUAAGAUGGGCACUCUAAGGAGACUGCCGGUGAUAAACCGGAGGAAGGUGGGGAUGACGUCAAAUCAUCAUGCCCCUUAUGUCUUGGGCUACACACGUGCUACAAUGGUCGGUACAACGGGCAGCGAAAGAGCGAUCCGGAGCAAAUCCCAAUAAACCGAUCCCAGUUCGGAUUGCAGGCUGCAACUCGCCUGCAUGAAGUCGGAGUUGCUAGUAAUCGCGAAUCAGAACGUCGCGGUGAAUGCGUUCCCGGGUC